UCUCCACGUGGACGUUAUGCGUCUUGAGGUC
rnacentral:piRNA from 1 species